rnacentral:rRNA from 1 species
AGCGUUAUCCGGAUUUAUUGGGUUUAAAGGGUGCGUAGGCGGUUUGAUAAGUCAGCGGUGAAAUAUUUCAGCUUAACUGGAAGGGUGCCGUUGAUACUGUCGAGCUUGAAUUUAGUUGCUGUGGGUGGAAUGUGUGGUGUAGCGGUGAAAUGCAUAGAUAUCACACAGAAUAUCGAUUGCGAAGGCAGCUCACAAAGCUAAUAUUGACGCUGAUGCACGAAAGUGUGGGGAUCAAACAGGAUUAGAUACCCUGGUAGUCCACACUGUAAACGAUGAUAACUCGCUGUCGGCGAUACACAGUCGGUGGCCAAGCGAAAGCGAUAAGUUAUCCACCUGGGGAGUACGACCGCAAGGUUGAAACUCAAAGGAAUUGACGGGGGCCCGCACAAGCGGAGGAACAUGUGGUUUAAUUCGAUGAUACGCGAGGAACCUUACCCGGGCUCGAACGGUGCAUGAAUGAUUCAGAGAUGGAUUAGUCCUUCGGGACAUGUAUCGAGGUGCUGCAUGGUUGUCGUCAGCUCGUGCCGUGAGGUGUCGGCUUAAGUGCCAUAACGAGCGCAACCCUUGUCGUUAGUUGCCAUCAGGUAAUGCUGGGAACUCUAGCGAGACUGCCACCGUGAGGUGCGAGGAAGGGGGGGAUGACGUCAAAUCAGCACGGCCCUUACGUCCGGGGCGACACACGUGUUACAAUGGCAGGUACAGAGGGCAGCUACCCAGCGAUGGGGUGCGAAUCUCGAAAGCCUGUCUCAGUUCGGAUCGGAGUCUGCAACUCGACUCCGUGAAGUUGGAUUCGCUAGUAAUCGCGCAUCAGCCAUGGCGCGGUGAAUACGUUCCCGGGCCUUGUACACACCGCCCGUCAAGCCAUGGAAGCUGGGGGUGCCUGAAGUUCAUACCGCAAGAGCAC